AGAGUUGAUCAUGGCUCAGGACGAACGCUGGCGGCGUGCCUAACACAUGCAAGUCGAGCGAGGAGAUCCUUCGGGAUGAUCCUAGCGGCGGACGGGUGAGUAACACGUGGGCAACCUGCCUCAUAGAGAGGAAUAGCCUUCCGAAAGGGAGAUUAAUACCUCAUAACAUUGCAGUUUCGCAUGGAACAGCAAUUAAAGGAGUAAUCCGCUAUGAGAUGGGCCCGCGGCGCAUUAGCUAGUUGGUGAGGUAAUGGCUCACCAAGGCGACGAUGCGUAGCCGACCUGAGAGGGUGAUCGGCCACAUUGGGACUGAGACACGGCCCAGACUCCUACGGGAGGCAGCAGUGGGGAAUAUUGCACAAUGGGGGAAACCCUGAUGCAGCCAACGCCGCGUGAGUGAUGACGGCCUUCGGGUUGUAAAGCUCUGUCUUCAGGGACGAUAGUGACGGUACCUGAGGAGGAAGCCACGGCUAACUACGUGCCAGCAGCAGC
rnacentral:rRNA from 1 species